UCGAACGAGCUUAGAGAGCUUGCUUUUUAAGCUUAGUGGCGAACGGGUGAGUAACGCGUGAGUACCUGCCCUAGAGUGGGGGACAACAGUUGGAAACGACUGCUAAUACCGCAUAAGGCCGCAUGACAAAAGAUUUAUCGCUUUAGGAUGGACUCGCGUCCAAUUAGCUAGUUGGUGAGGUAACGGCCCACCAAGGCACGAUUGGUAGCCGGACUGAGAGGUUGAACGGCCACAUUGGGACUGAGACACGGCCCAGACUCCUACGGGAGGCAGCAGUGGGGGAUAUUGCACAAUGGGGGAAACCCUGAUGCAGCGACGCCGCGUGGAGGAAGAAGGUUUUCGGAUUGUAAACUCCUGUCGUUAGGGACGAUAAGACGGUACCUAACAAGAAAGCACCGGCUAACUACGUGCCAGCAGCCGCGGUAAAACGUAGGGUGCAAGCGUUGUCCGGAAUUACUGGGUGUAAAGGGAGCGCAGGCGGGAAGCAAGUUGGAAGUGAAAACCAUGGGCUCAACCCAUGAAUUGCUUUCAAAACUGUUUUUCUUGAGUAGUGCAGAGGUAGAUGGAAUUCCCGGUGUAGCGGUGGAAUGCGUAGAUAUCGGGAGGAACACCAGUGGCGAAGGCGGUCUACUGGGCACCAACUGACGCUGAGGCUCGAAAGCAUGGGUAGCA
rnacentral:rRNA from 1 species